rnacentral:rRNA from 1 species
UACGAAGGGGGCUAGCGUUGCUCGGAAUCACUGGGCGUAAAGGGUGCGUAGGCGGGUCUUUUAAGUCAGGGGUGAAAUCCUGGAGCUCAACUCCAGAACUGCCUUUGAUACUGAGGAUCUUGAGUUCGGGAGAGGUGAGUGGAACUGCGAGUGUAGAGGUGAAAUUCGUAGAUAUUCGCAAGAACACCAGUGGCGAAGGCGGCUCACUGGCCCGAUACUGACGCUGAGGCACGAAAGCGGUGGGAGCA